AAUAAUUCGUUAUUGUUUUUCUAACAAUAAUUAGACUGCUUGUUACAAAUACUAUUAUAUUUAUAUUGACGACUAAUCUUACUGAUAUGACCGAAAAUAAUAUUUUACCUGAAACUAGCGAUCAGUUCAAAGGAAAUAUGAAUGAUAGCCGAAAGUAUAUAAAUUCUAUUGAUAGUAUAAUAGGAGCUUUAGUGACGACUAUUAAGUUUACUUCUCCUCGUAACAGCGAUGUUCGUAAAUGUAGGAUUUGUUUCUCUAACGAAGAACCUCUGAUUUCUCUCUGUCACUGUAGAGGUUCCGUUGGUUUAGUUCAUCGCAAAUGUUUAGAAAAAUGGCUGGAAACUGGAAAAAUCGAUACUUGCGAAUUGUGUCGUAAGAAUUUUAAUAUUAUUCGAAUACCGAAAAACUUUUCCGAUUGGUGGAAGAACUCGGAAAAUGUAGAAGAAAAAAGAAAUUUGAAAGUAGAUGCCUUUGUAAUAUGCAUUUUGUCUCCAAUGGCAUUUCUGAGUUUAAUUCUUUGCCUGCAGCUGAUUACUGAAAAUAUCCAACGAAAACUUUGGGUGGAAGCUGCAGUCAUUUCAACAUUUUGCUGUUUCUUAAUGUUUGCAUUUACAUUUCAUGUUGUUUUGACUGUCAAAAGUCACCUUAUCAUAUAUCAAAAAUGGAAAGAAAACCACUGGACUAUUAAAAUCUUGGAUCAAAGUAUAUCCACAAUGGAAUCUUCCGCCUCUUUCCCGGAUUGUAACAGAAAAAUCAGGAGUGGAAACAAGUACACGGCACACAUCAGGUACACCUUACUUUUAUAUCCACUCAAAAUAAUGAGAAAAAGUUUUCUUACUCAUUGAGCACUUUACCAAGCAAUGCAACCAUUGUUCCGCCAGCAAUGAACUUUAACAGCAAAGACAAACUUCUCGCCUGACAUUGGACAAAUUCUAGCCGUUUACUGAUAGCUAAUGAUCAACAAAGAAGAGCUUCUUUCGACGUUUGCCUUCAGCGUAAUGGUCAAUUCGUUGAAAAUUUUCAAGUUCACUAUAUUUAAAAAAAACAAUAAAUAAGUUCGAC